ensembl:processed_transcript
GGCUAUCCUGUCUUCGAGCAGUCCAGGAGAAUGGCUCCUCCUCUCUGAUGGCAUUCUGAUUGUGGCAAAAAUGAGCGACACUGUGUUCUUCUCCUUUGUUAUCUUCCUGGGCAGCCAUUGGGGCGCAGAGCCCCUGUCUAUCCCUGUGACUGAAGGUAUCUUCACAAACGUAUUGUCAUGGCAAACGGAGGGGCGGAAGACUCCUAGGGAGCCUCAGCCAGGCUGGCUGGUGGGCCCUUCCUGCUGAGGCUGGGACAGUGAGCCCUCCUCCUGUCCUUUACCUGAGCUUGCCUACCUAUGACGCUCCCUCAAAUUCUAGAGCUUUGCAAAACUAUCCCGUAUUUAGAAAUGUCAACCCUUUAUUAAAAAAAAUAUUUUCAAACAUCU